rnacentral:lncRNA from 1 species
GUUCUAUCUCAAUCUUGCCAGCUGUCUUUUUAAUCAGAGAGAUGCCAUUACAAUGAUUAUUCUUGAACAUUUGUGCCCAGCCCUCAAGAGAAAGCAAGAGACCUGCUAACUAACUCAAAAUGUUUGCAAAAUACAAAAUAUUAAAGGUGUGAAAGGGAGCCUGCGGACACAGAAUUGCUUCUGAUCUUCUUUGCUAGGCUGAAUCAGAGGAUGGCCAGGCACAGUGGCUCACACCCGUAAUCCCAGCACUUUUGGAGGCCAAGGAAGAUGGAUUGCUUGAGCCCAGGAGUUCAAGACCAGCUUGGACAACAUGGCAAAACCCUAUCUACAAAAAAUUACCUGGGCGUGGUGGUGUGCACCUAUAGUCCCAGCUACUGGGGAGGCUGAGGUGGGAGGAUCACCUGAGCCUGGGCAGAGGAGGCUGCAGUGAGCUGUGAUCGCACACUGUGCUCCAGCCUGGGUGAUAAUAGUGAGACUCUGUUUCAAAAAAUACGUGAGUAAUAAAAAUAAAAAUAAAAUCCAGAGGCUCAUUAUAUAUCUAUUGAAAAGACAGAUAUCAACUCAUGUAUUCACUGUUGUUGUUUUCAAUAAAUUAUCAUUGUCAAA